rnacentral:rRNA from 1 species
CCUACGUGUGGCAGCAGUGGGGAAUAUUGGACAAUGGGCGAAAGCCUGAUCCAGCCAUGCCGCGUGUGUGAAGAAGGCCUUCGGGUUGUAAAGCACUUUCAGUGGGGAAGAAAGCCUUGGGGCUAAUACCCUCGAGGAAGGACAUCACCCACAGAAGAAGCACCGGCUAACUCCGUGCCAGCAGCCGCGGUAAUACGGAUGGUGCGAGCGUUAAUCGGAAUUACUGGGCGUAAAGCGCGCGUAGGCGGUCUGAUAAGCCGGUUGUGAAAGCCCCGGGCUCAACCUGGGAACGGCAUCCGGAACUGUCAGGCUAGAGUGCAGGAGAGGAAGGUAGAAUUCCCGGUGUAGCGGUGAAAUGCGUAGAGAUCGGGAGGAAUACCAGUGGCGAAGGCGGCCUUCUGGACUGACACUGACGCUGAGGUGCGAAAGCGUGGGUAGCAAACAGGAUUAGAUACCCGUGUAGUC